GGAUUCGCUAGUAAUCGCGCAUCAGCCACGGCGCGGUGAAUACGUUCCCGGGCCUUGUACACACCGCCCGUCAAGCCAUGGAAGCCGGGAGUGCCUGAAGUGCGUGAGCGCAAGCAGCGCCCUAAGGUAAAACCGGUGACUGGGGCUAAGUCGUAACAAGGUACC
rnacentral:rRNA from 1 species